UGGUCCAGCAGAAGCAUGUGGUCAGACAUUGACUGUAAUGAUGGACAUCUGCUGAGUGACAGAAUUAAUUUAGAACACUUUAUAGUGUGAUUUCUGGACCAACACAAGAUCCAUUUCCCCAUUCUCUGUUGAUUCUGUCACUGCUGAUACACAAAUCAUCCACCAGUGGGCACAACAUUGACACAUUGAUCAGGU